rnacentral:tRNA from 1 species
AGUUAAUGAGCUUGAUAAAGCUUUUACUUUGAAAGUAAACCAAAGAAAUUCUAAACUUUCUAUUAGCUU